CAGUUCCUGCUUCAAAUUACUGUCAACAGCUGCAUCAAUACUGGGGAUGGAGAGGCGGGUUUCCGCGCCAGCUGCUACACUUUAGAUGCUUAGAAGUUAAGAAAACACAGGAGUAAAUGCACUUUUGGAAAGACUCCCUGUUUGUGCCCGACGUCACAUGAGUAUCGGUGCUGGCCGUCUGCUGAAGAACAGGAUGAUAAUGAUCACUGACAGCGAGGCUGCAAAUGAUACAG